GACGAACGCUGGCGGCGUGCCUAAUACAUGCAAGUAGAACGCUGAAGGAGGAGCUUGCUUCUCUGGAUGAGUUGCGCACGGGUGAGUAACGCGUAGGUAACCUGCCUGGUAGCGGGGGAUAACUAUUGGAAACGAUAGCUAAUACCGCAUAAUAGUAGAUGUUGCAUGACAUUUGCUUAAAAGGUGCAAUUGCAUCACUACCAGAUGGACCUGCGUUGUAUUAGCUAGUUGGUGAGGUAAAGGCUCACUAAGGCGACGAUACAUAGCCGACCUGAGAGGGGGAUAGGCCACACAGGGAAUGAGAGACGGCCCAGGCACCUACGGGAGGGAGCAGAAGGGAAUAUUCGGCAAUGGACGGAAGUCUGACCGAGCAAAGCGGCGUGAGUGAAGAAGGGUUUCGGAGAGUAAAGAUCUGUUGUAAGAGAAGAACGAGAGUGAGAGUGGAAAGUUCAAACUGUGAAGGUAACUUACCAGAAAGGGAAGGCUAACUACGUG
rnacentral:rRNA from 1 species